AUUGAACGCUGGCGGCAGGCCUAACACAUGCAAGUCGGACGGUAGCACAGAGGAGCUUGCUCCUCGGGUGACGAGUGGCGGACGGGUGAGUAAUGUCUGGGGAUCUGCGCGAUAGAGGGGGAUAACAACUGGAAACGGUGGCUAAUACCGCAUAACGUCGCAAGACCAAAGAGGGGGACCUUCGGGCCUAUCACUAUCGGAUGGACCCAGAUGGGAUUAGCUAGUAGGCGGGGUAACGGACCCCCUAGGCAACGAUCCCUAGCUGGUCGGAGAGGAUGACCAGCCACGCUGGAACUGAGACACGGUCCAGACUCCUACGGGAGGCAGCAGUGGGGAAUAUUGCACAAUGGGCGCAAGCCUGAUGCAGCCAUGCCGCGUGUAUGAAGAAGACCUUCGGGUUGUAAAGUACUUUCAGCGGGGAGGAAGGCGAUGUGGUUAAUAACCGCAUUGAUUGGCGUUACCCGCAGAAGAAGCACCGGCUAACUCCGUGCCAGCCGCCGCAGUAA
rnacentral:rRNA from 1 species